rnacentral:rRNA from 1 species
UCGAGGACGAACGCUGGCGGCGUGCCUAAUACAUGCAAGUCGAACGGUCUUUCUAUGGAAGCUUGCUUCCACUGAGAAGAUAGUGGCGAACGGGUGAGUAACACGUGGGUAACCUGCCCAUAAGAGGGGGAUAACAUCCGGAAACGGGUGCUAAUACCGCAUAGUUUUCUUGAUCGCAUGAUCGGGAAAGGAAAGACGGCCUUUGUGCUGUCGCUUAUGGAUGGACCCGCGGCGUAUUAGUUAGUUGGUGAGGUAACGGCUCACCAAGACGAUGAUACGUAGCCGACCUGAGAGGGUGAUCGGCCACAUUGGGACUGAGACACGGCCCAAACUCCUACGGGAGGCAGCAGUAGGGAAUCUUCCGCAAUGGACGAAAGUCUGACGGAGCAACGCCGCGUGAGUGAAGAAAAGGUUUUCGGAUCGUAAAACUCUGUUGUCAGAGAAGAACAAGUUGGAGAGUAACUGCUCCAGCCUUGACGGUAUCUGACCAGAAAGCCACGGCUAACUACGUGCCAGCCGCGGC